rnacentral:tRNA from 1 species
GGGCGGUUAGCUCAGUUGGUUAGAGCGUUGCUUUGACAUAGCAAAGGUCGUAGGUUCAAGUCCUAUACCGCCCA